rnacentral:rRNA from 1 species
CAGUAGCCGCGGUAAUACGGAAGGUCCAGGCGUUAUCCGGAUUUAUUGGGUUUAAAGGGAGUGUAGGCGGUCUGUUAAGCGUGUUGUGAAAUUUAGGUGCUCAACAUUUAACUUGCAGCGCGAACUGGCGGACUUGAGUGCACGCAACGUAUGCGGAAUUCAUGGUGUAGCGGUGAAAUGCUUAGAUAUCAUGACGAACUCCGAUUGCGAAGGCAGCGUUCGGGAGUGUUACUGACGCUUAAGCUCGAAGGUGCGGGUAUCGAACAGGAUUAGAUACCCGGGUAGUCCCUGUCUCUUAUAC